rnacentral:lncRNA from 1 species
UAUAUACUUGUAUAAUGGUGUUGUAUUUUCUGAAACACAAUAUUCAAAGAUUGAUUUUUAGAAAGUCUUCAAACAAAAAUACCAUUUUCUGUCUGUCGUCUAUCUGAGACUUGGCACCAGUCUAAGGUGGAGCAUUUGAAAAUUAAACUACAAUUAUUUGGUUGUCUUUUUAUUUAUAUUUUUCCUGAACUUGUUUAUUGAUUUGACUCGUGGAACAAGAGUUUUGUGCGUCAAAUUACUUGUGGGUUGCCUUAGACCAUCUCCAACUCUCCCCCAUUCUCCCAUUUUUUCCUUCGAUUUAUUUUAUUUUUUCAUCUACAAUACACACCCCCAAUUUUUUUUGUCCAGUCCCCCAUUUCCUCCCAUUUUGUUCCCCCAAAGAUUAUGGUGACAAAAAUGGAAAGAAAAGCUGCAUCUCACACCAUUCCCAUCUUCCCCCAAAUUUGUGACAAAAAUGGGAGAAAAAUUUCAUGUCGUUCAUUCCCCCAUUUUCUAUUUUUUUCUCAAACUUGGAGAAAAUGGGAAGAAAGAAAAAUUUGGAAGAGUAUUUUUUUGAAUUAGUAGGUCCAUAAAUAAAAAAAUAUUAAUUAGAUAUUAAAUUAAUAUUUAAUUUUGUAAUAUUGUCUAUUUUUUCUCUUUAUAUUAGUUUUAUGACGAUUUAUUUAUAUAUCUAUAUAUAUAGUUAUUUAUUGCUUUAUCUGAUUUUAUUCUUUAGUAUUGUUCAUAUAUAUAAAUAAAUAGCACGUAUCGGUUUAAGUUCAAUUAUGUUUUACGCUAUAUUUUUUUUUAAAAAAGAUUAAGUUUACCCUCAUAUAAAUGUUGCUUUAAAUUUUCUUAUUAAUCAGAAUUUUAAAUAUAAAUAUUCAUCCCAUAUCAAACAUGAGAAAUUGAAACUAGGGGAAUGGAGAAUACUAGUGGAGACCAAAAUUCUUUUUUUUGUUUAAAUCAAAAAAUGGGAGAAUGGGGGAAUACCAUUAAAGACUAAAAUGAACCAAAAAGGAGAAUGGGAGAAAUUAUUGGAGAUCAACACCACCAUUCUUUUAAAUUCAAAAAAUAAGAGAAAAAAAUAAAAGAAUGUGAGAAACCAUUGGAGACUAAAGUGUUUUUGUCCUAUUUUUUACAAAAAUAAGGAAAUAAUAAAAAUCGAAGAACGAUUGGGAGAUGUCUGACUAACGUGUGUUUAGGAUAUUUUAUCAAUAUUGAGACCGACCAAAAAGAUUGUGUCAAUACACUGUCUAUGUGACAGGGAUGUGUAUAAUUAAUUAUGCAGGUAGAAAAAAUGCUUUUAUUGAAACUGGCUGCAACAUCUGUCAUAUUUCAGUUUAAGGGGCAAUAUGGCUUUGUUUUUUACUCCAAAUUCCAAAAUAUCAAACCACUUCGUCGCCUCGCCGCCUCGUCUCCUCGGUUGUUGACUGGGAGAAACAUAAAGUGAAAAUAAAAAAUAGAACUUAUGCGUUUGUUGAAAAUAACAUCGAUAUUUUUCCAUUUUAAUUUGAGGGGCAAUAUGGCCCUCUUUUACUCCAUAUUCCAUUAUAAUGACCCCUCAAGUAUGGUGACUUGGGGAAUAAAGCAUAAUGCCAAAGGGAGGCCCGGAGUAGGAUUUUGUUCAUUGAAAAUGGUAUCAACGACUACCCCAAUUUGGUUCAAGAGGCAAUGUGGCCAAUUUGCGCUCUGGAUUCCAUGUUUUCAGGCCAAAAAAUGAUUUCUCACGUACGGUGACUUGGGAAAGAAAAAAUGAUGCCUAGAGGAGGCCCGGUGUAAAACUUAUUAGACAAUGAGGUUUAACCUUUUUUUAAAAAAAUUGUGAUAAAAGUGUUAAUCGCAUUCAUGCUUUUUAUAGAGACGUGAUCACUAAACACGUUUAUUAAAAAUAUUUUUAAUUAACACGUUUUUAUCAAAAAUAUUAUUGUCAGCAACGAUUUCAUAUUAAUCUUAUUUUAUUUAGAAUGAAAGACUAAAAAGAAGUGUUUAUCAAAAUAAUUUUAAGAAGAGCGUGUCUAUUAAUGAUGGUUUAAAAUAGUAAUUAUUUUCAUACAAUUAUUAUAUUUUUUUAAUAGAUUAAAUUUCGUUGACUGUUCUUGAGGUUUCUAACAAAUACAGUCACAUUUUUUAAAAAUAUUACUAACAUCCCUUACUUUUAAAACUAUUAUUUCCCCUAAUGUUAAUUUUUUUUUCAAAAAUGCCAAGUUUGCCAUUAGAUUUAGGACAUUCUUUUUUUUCUCAAUACGUCAAUUAAGAUAGAUAGAAUUUCAUCAAUUAAGAUAGAUAGAGUUUUUUUCCCUAAAACCACCCCAAUUUAUUUAUAAACUACCUAAUUUUUAUUUUUUAUCAAUAAAUAUAUUGAAUAAAAAAAAUCUACAUAGUUUACUUUUUCAGUUCUCAUAAUCUAAACGUACUUUAAAAUUAAAUUUUCUUAUCAAAUUUAAAAAAAUCAAUACAAAAGUUAGUCAUUUAUUUUUUUCUUAUAGCAUUACCAUUUAGUCAUAAACUAUCUCACAUU